rnacentral:rRNA from 1 species
CUUAAGCCGAUAGGCGUAGGCGCAGCGAAAGCGAGUCUGAACAGGGCGUUCAGUUCGUCGCAUUAGACCCGAAACGCGUUGAUCUACCUAUGAGCAGAGUGAAGGUGCAGUAACAUGCACUGGAGGCUCGAACCCAUGUCUGUUGAAAAAGCCUGGGAUGACUUGUGGGUAGGGGUGAAAGGCCAAUCAAAACGCGUGAUAGCUGGUUCUCCGCGAAAACUAUUUAGGUAGUGCGUCGUAGUGAUUACCGUAGGGGGUAGAGCACUGGAUGGGCUAGGGGGUCUCACCGACUUACCAAACCUAACCAAACUCCGAAUACCUGCGAGUACAGCUCGGCAGACAGACGGCGGGUGCUAACGUCCGUCGUCAAGAGGGAAACAACCCUAACCAUCAGCUAAGGCCCCAAGUAAUGGCUAAGUUGUUAAGGAUGUGGGUAUGCAUAGACAACCAGGAAGUUGGCUUAGAAGCAGCCAUCCUUUAAAGAAAGCGUAACAGCUCACUGGUCAAGCGUACCUGCGCCGAAAAUGUAACGGG